rnacentral:lncRNA from 1 species
UCAUGUUAGGAUAGUUCAGUUUAUAACUAGUAUUUUAAUUUCUAUUAAUAUUAAAAAUAAAUAUAAUAAGUAUUUUUAAGUAUACAAAAUAUAUUUUGGAUAUUCGGUCUCGAUUCGAUUCUGGUUUAAUUUUUUAGUUUGGUUCCAAUUUAGUUUUUCGGUUUUCAAUUUAUAUGCACGGGCCUUACUGAACCUUUGGGGAAUGAUGUAGACGAGCCCUGAAUUCCAAAAGUUUUUUUGCUAUGAAUGUUAAAUUAUAUACCAUUUUAAAUUUUAGACAUAGAUUAUAAAUACAACAAGUAGGAGACAAAGAAAAACAACUAAACAAUACCAAAAUACAAAAGAAAAACACAGUGAAAUGCAGAAAUACGACAACUAAUACAAAUCCUGAAUAACAAAACAAUGCACAUUGUCUAGGAUCGCCAUGAACCAACAGCAGGAGUCUCAUUGUUGUGGUUGCUAAGUUACCGCGAGUUAACAGAGAAUUGGCCAGCCCUUAUAACCACUCCGCUUCGUAUCGAACACGCCUUUGAUAACCUGCUAAAUUAGCACACACAACUACCAUAUCCUACGACGUCUCAAACAGAUGCAUUCGGAGUGAACGUCCCAGCCCGGUCGAAACCGGAGGUCCGGAUAAAGGUGAAGUUGUAUGCCUCUACCCCACCGAUUUAGCCAAAACCUUUGCCGCACAGUUAGCUAAUCUGCUACCACAUGAAACAUUCACUCAUCUGUCGAGUACCACCGCAAAAAAAAAAAACAGAGCUGCUGCUCACACUAAACGCAGAUUGACUGAAAUCCAAAAGUUGGAACAUGCAAAGCAACAAAAGAAAAAAAUGCCUAACAGAAGACAAACAUCCAUAGAGCCCUUGGGUGGAUGGAUGCGUCCGCUGUGGCGGAAGAGUGACCAAGCC